rnacentral:rRNA from 1 species
UGAGUACGAGCUGCUACGGCAGCGAAGUGGGUGACGUCAAGCUUCCAAGAAAAGCCCUAUACCCGUUAAGGCAUGAUGGCCUGUACCCGAAACCGACACAGGUGGGGUGGUAGAGAAUACCGAGGGGCGCGAGAUAACUCUCUCUAAGGAACUCGGCAAAAUGGCCCCGUAACUUCGGGAGAAGGGGUGCCACCGCAAGGUGGUCGCAGUGAAGAGGCCCAGGCGACUGUUUACCAAAAACACAGGUCUCCGCUAAGUCGCAAGACGAUGUAUGGGGGCUGACGCCUGCCCAGUGCCGGAAGGUUAAGGAAGCUGGUCAGCGUAAGCGAAGCUAGCGACUGAAGCCCCGGUGAACGGCGGCCGUAACAAUAACGGUCCUAAGGUAGCGAAAUUCCUUGUCGGGUAAGUUCCGACCCGCACGAAAGGCGUAACGAUCUGGGCGCUGUCUCGGAGAGAGGCUCGGCGAAAUAGAAUUGUCUGUGAAGAUGCGGACUACGUGCACCCGGACAGAAAGACCCUAUGAAGCUUUACUGUAGCUUGGUAUUGUGCUCGGGCUCGGAAUGCGCAGGGUAGGUGGGAGGCUAUGAACCAUUGCUUGUGGGUGAUGGUGACCACUGGUGAGAUACCACUCUUUCCGAGCUAGAGUUCUAACAGCCACCCGUUAUCCGGGGGCUGGACAGUAUCAGGUGGGCAGUUUGACUGGGGCGGUCGCCUCCUAAAAGGUAACGGAGGCGCGCAAAGGUUUGCUCAGGCUGGUUGGAAAUCAGCCGACGAGUGUAAAAGCAGAAGCAAGCUUGACUGUGAGACCUACAAGUCGAACAGGGAGGAAACUCGGCUUUAGUGAUCCGACGGUUCUGCGUGGAAGGGCCGUCGCUCAACGGAUAAAAGUUACUCUAGGAUAACAGGCUGAUCUCCCCCAAGAGUUCACAUCGACGGGGAGGUUUGGCACCUCGAUGUCGGCUCAUCGCAACCUGGGGCUGAAGUCGGUCCCAAGGGUUGGGCUGUUCGCCCAUUAAAGCGGUACGCGAGCUGGGUUCAGAACGUCGUGAGACAGUUCGGUCCAUAUCCGGUGCAUGCGCAGGAAUAUUGAGAGGAUUUCUCCCUAGUACGAGAGGACCGGGAGGAACGCACCUCUGGUGUACCAGUUAUCGUGCCAACGGUAAACGCUGGGUAGCCAUGUGCGGAGAGGAUAACCGCUGAAAGCAUCUAAGUGGGAAGCCCACCUCAAGAUGAGUAUUCCCAUGGGUUAACCCAGUAAGGUCACGGGAAGAACACCCGUUGAUAGGCUCUACGUGGAAGCGCAGUAAUGUGUGAAGCGGAGGAGUACUAAUAGACCGAGGGC